rnacentral:lncRNA from 1 species
UCCUUCUUAUAGAGCUCUGAUGACCAUGGGAUUAUGUGUAUUAUGUUAAAGUGUUUAUUUCUCACUUAGGUCUAUGACCCACGUAGAGAGAACUUAAUCUUGGCUGAUGUUCAUGUUUAAGUAAUGCCACUGAGUACUUAGUUGGGUUGUUUAAUUACGGCUAUGACUUGGUUUAUGUUGUGGGGAGUGAAGGAUUCCAGGAGUGGUGGUUAAUUAUUAUAGUUGAAGUGUUUCAUUUUAUUUCAGGAUGGGUUGUCCAUUUUUAGGGGAGGUUAUGCCGAAAUUUCGGUAUAAUCUCUUUUAAGAGUGGACCCCGCAAGACUUGCCUAUUUUACUAUGUGUUUUCGGGGUGGGUCUUGUCACAUAUAAUCAUUUCAGGAUUCCUUGCAUACCGCUUGGAAUUUAAGACAAAUUGUUAAACCCCUUCUCGGUACUCAUCACUAUUUUUAUCUAAGGUAAUCCAGCUUUUAUCCAUGCUAAAUGACAAACAAAUCUCGGAUCUCCUUACCUAAUAAAAUUUGAAAAUUCAACUGUCAAACAAUUAACAACUAAUCCUAAACUAUAUUGGACCCUCUACAAUUAGUUCAGUUUCCUAUUACACAAAGACAAAACAACUGUGACUAUAUAUAUAUAUAUAUAAAAGAAUCAAACAACCAAAUCACAAUAUCCAGAAAGAAAGAAUAGCUACAAUAUAUAUAACACAAGACUUGGAGAUGGACAACCAUUCCUAAAGAAAAACCUGCAAGCACUCCUAAAAUUCUCAAUCCACCCUUAACUUCUGGAGCCUACGUGCUCCCCAAACACAACCACCACCAAUAACAAUAAUAAAAUCAUCUUCCAAAUCAACACAUAAUUAUCCAAAUAAGAUAACAUACAUCCUCCGUUAAAUAUUCUAAACAGAAAUCAACAGACCGCACACUACCGAAAAUAAUUUACAUUAAUCCCGAGUAUUCAGAGCUACUAGACACUAGCGGAAGUAAGAAAACACGGGUAGGUUAAACAGGUAACCUACUGGUGAAAAAUGGUGGAAAUGCAGGUGACUAUGCCUCGCCUCCUACUAGAUCUAACCCGAACUCUGCAGACUAGGCAUUUUAAACGAACGGCCCAGGUGAAAACAUUUAAUAACGUUAGAGUGAGUGGACAAAAUAAAUUAAUAAAAAAUAUUUAUGCAUUCCCAUUUUAAUUUCCAAAGAAAUUAUGCUGCAUGCGACCGCUCAAAAGCG